GACGAACCGAGCGAACGUUAUUCGGAAUCACUGGGCUUAAAGGGUGCGUAGGCGGGCGGUCAAGUCAGGGGUGAAAUCCUCCAGCUCAACUGGAGAAGUGCCUCUGAUACUGGCCGUCUCGAGGGAGGUAGGGGCGUGCGGAACUUCCGGUGGAGCGGUGAAAUGCGUAGAUAUCGGAAGGAACACCAGUGGCGAAGGCGACUUACUGGACACAUAUUGACGCUGAGGUGCGAAAGCGUGGGGAGCAAACAGG
rnacentral:rRNA from 1 species